UACGGAGGGUGCAAGCGUUAUCCGGAUUCACUGGGUUUAAAGGGUGCGUAGGUGGGUUGGUAAGUCAGUGGUGAAAUCUCCAGGCUUAACUUGGAAACUGCCAUUGAUACUAUCAAUCUUGAAUACCGUGGAGAUGAGCGGAAUAUGUCAUGUAGCGGUGAAAUGCUUAGAUAUGACAUAGAACACCGAUAGCGAAGGCAGCUUACUACAUGUUCAUUGACGCUGAGGCACGAAAGCGUGGGGAGCAAACAGG
rnacentral:rRNA from 1 species